rnacentral:lncRNA from 1 species
CCUCCUUCCUUUGAUGGCCUUUCCUUGCCUCCUGUAACAAUCAAACCAUCUCUCAACGUGGUGUACAUUGUGAAAACUGGUCCAUUGUGAGCUUUGGCCACAAUUCGUAUCAACACAUGAUCUUUCCAAACACAAACAUCUCCACUGAUAGUACCUGUAAAUGUCAAGUUAUUAGCUCCAAAAGCUACAGACAGCAUUGUCUGCAUUCGGG